UACAGAGGUCUCAAGCGUUGUUCGGAUUCAUUGGGCGUAAAGGGUGCGUAGGUGGCGCGCUAAGUCAGGUGUGAAAUUUCGGAGCUCAACUCCGAAACUGCAUUUGAUACUGGCGUGCUUGAGGACUGGAGAGGAGACUGGAAUUCACGGUGUAGCAGUGAAAUGCGUAGAUAUCGUGAGGAAGACCAGUGGCGAAGGCGGGUCUCUGGACAGUUCCUGACACUGAG
rnacentral:rRNA from 1 species